AAAUCUAUGUUUUUCUUCUCUAGUCGGCAAGCUCAUCCUAACUAGCCCUGAUCUCUGGAAACCCACUGCAAAGAUAUAUUUUACAUUCUUUGGGCUGUUCCCGUUCCCCUUCCGUACAGCUGCUACGCCCAUUAAAUGUUCCGAGUUCCGGUUGCUUUGGAGCUCACGUAGAGACCAUAAAAGAAGCUUUGCAUACAUAUGUAUGUAUGUAUUAGCAGCAGCAGAAAUAGUAGCAGCAGAUGCAUGGGACAUCUUGCACUAAAACAGUGCGAAAGACAGAGCGGGGUUGGAGGUAAGCAACGGAUACGGACACGGACACAGACACGGAACAGGCGACAUUUGAAUGCCCUACUCCAUUCUGAACCUUUCUCAAGCCAUGCGAGAGAGUAACAAAGUGAAGUGAUCAUCAUCAGCAGGGAGAGCAUCUCGAGACGCUUUCCCGCAUAGGACGGAGCCAGACACGUUCCAUGGACAUGCGAGCUGAGAAAUGGAGCAAUUCCAGGCACAGGCACAGCCAGCAUCCAACAUUGAGCACCGAGUGCCAUGGCAUCCUCUGGAGUAUACAUGGGUCAAGCCAGCUAGUUGUUCCUGGUCCGGCAUGCACCGUUAAAUCUCCUAAUCGACACGGACGGCCACAGUUGGCCCGAAAAAUGAAAUCCGUAAAACUUUUACCAGUUGCAUUUAGAAAAUGGCCAAAGGAGCUCUCUGGCCGAGGGCCAAGGCAACCAAUGCAGCCAACGCAGCAUCUAGUCACGAUGGAAGGGAUGGAAUGGAAACUGUUGGAGACAAGGCAAGCCGGGGGAAUUAGAAUUUCGGAUGGAAAAUAUCCAACUGUGCACCAUGUUAAUGGCAAAUGGCGUUCGCAGUUGUCCUCCCUGCCAAAAUUCCUCCUUACGGGCUGCUCUCAUUCUCUCCCACCUAAAUGAUCCGGUCUCCGUCUCCGUCUCCGUCUCGGUGUCAGCUUCGGUUUCAGUCUCAGUCAGUACAAGGGUGCGAACAGCAAAGGGUCGGGAGCAGUAUACGAAAAUUUAUUACACUCGAAAUAGUGUAUAUGUAUGUUUGUAUGUGUGUAUGUAUGUAUGCAUGUACAUUGUGCAUAUAGAUAAACGUAUUCACAGACAUCAUAUAUAGAUGUGACUCGGCAUAUAGGAAUGCAAGUACGGGUAUAUGCAUCUGGAGUAAAGCUUAAAAGUGUGUGUACGACGUAAGCCAAUUUUCAGGCGAAACGUUAACUGCCAGAAAAUGAAAUGAACUACAAGGCGAAAGAGACACACGCACACAGAUAACUUAAUGGGAAACUUUUUAGCUUGGAUAACAUUCGCUGGAGUCAGCCAAAUGCCUAAUGAAUCAACUUCAGGAAGCGACUUUUAGUCGCAUAUUGUCGCCACGAUAGGGCCACCAUAUGGAGCACACGAAGGCCGUUGUGCGAUGGCUAAUCAAGGCUACUUUAAAAAUCGGUUCUGAGCUUCAGGAGGCUAUCCGUAGAGAUACAACUGGCCUAAGAAGCUGUUAAGGCUAGGCUCAUCCUUAGAAUCAUAUUUGUUGAGUGAUCUUAUCAUAACAUAUCAUUAGGUAUGAACUGGAACAGCUAUGACUUCGUCUGAUGUCGGGGUCACCAUUGUUACGAUCUUAGGAAAUGGCAGGUAAAUGAAAUGAAUAGGUACUGCAUUAUUUGUAGUUGCAAUUAAUACAUUAUUUGGUGAUUAUGAGUGAAAUAUCAAUAUGAAUAAAUAAAUAUGACAAA